rnacentral:snRNA from 1 species
AGCUUUGCACAGUGGCAGUAUCAUACCAAGAAGUUAAUCUGAGGUGUGAUUUUGCUAGUUGAAAAUCCGCUUCUCUCCCCCUUCCUGGUGGUAGCGGUACAGUACUACUGUAGACAGCAGAAACUG